rnacentral:ncRNA from 1 species
AGACUACUCAUAAUGCCAAUAAUGGAUGCCUUGGAGAUUUUGGCCGAGGAAGGACGCAUAUGGCGGCGAUACUCGUCGGGUAGGUGCCAUAAACCUAUUAUCCGGCGGUUUCCGAAUGGAGCAAUCCAGCCGAUUUUUCGGCUAGCCAAACAUAAAAGUAGUUUCUAUAUGAAGCUUAAUAGUGUUUGGCGGGUAACGGCGUGAACUGAAACAUCUAAUUAACGCCAGGAAAAGAAAUUAGUAUAAGAUUCCCCUAGUAGCGGUGAGCGAAAAGGGAAAAGUCUAAACUUUGUAGCAAUACAAAGGGUUGCAGGGCAGACGAUAUUCGAUGCGAUUUUUCAUAGCAGAAGUGUCCGGAAUGGCACACCAAAGAGGGUGAAAGUCUCGUAAGCGAAAUGAAAGAUCCCGAUAGUCUGUUCCUAAGUACCAUGGGGUACGGUGAAACCCUGUGGGAAUCUGGGGCGGCCACGUUCCAAGACUAAAUACCAAAAUCUACCGAUAGUGAACUAGUACCGCGAGGGAAAGGUGAAAAGCACCCCGGGAGGGGGAUGAAAUAGACCUGAAAUUAUUGGCUAACAAGCAGAGAGAGCUUGUGCGUUGCACAAGAGUAAUCAAGAAUUAAAAAAUCAAUUAAUGGACCAACUAAGAAAAAUUUCGUAAACCUUUGGAUGAUUAAGAUUUUUGAAAAACCUGGUUAUUCUCGUGUGACGCGCGAGUAAUCUCGUGCCUAUUGAAGAAUGAACCGGUGAGUUAUUCUAGAUCACUUUUGUCUAACCAAUUAAGUUGGGGAGGCGUAGUGAAAGCGUGCUCUAAUUGAGCGAUUUUACAAAGUGUUGGAAUAGACCCGAAACCGGGUGAGCUAACCUUGAGCAGGGCGAAUGCUUUCGAAAGAUAGCAGGAGGCCCGAACUCGUAUCCGUAGCAAUGGGUUGAGACGACUUGAGGUUAGGGGCAAUAUGCCAAACGAACCCGGAGAUAGCUGGUUCUCCCCGAAAUAUAUUUAGGUAUAGCGGGAUAAUUACGUACUGUGGGGUAGAGCACUGAAUGAAAUCCGGCGACGCAAGUUGUCGGUUUCAAUCAAACUCCGAAUACAUAGUAUUUUUAUCCUAGUCAGACAUGUCGGGCUAAGCUGAUGUGUCGAGAGGGAAAAAGCCCAGACUUCCAUCUAAGGUCUCUAAAUAAAAGCUAAGUUUUGAAGGAAGUCAAAAUUCAUAGACAACCAGGAUGUUGGCUUAGAAGCANNNNNNNNNNNNCGCCGGUUGGCGGAUCGGAUUUCGGAUUUAUAAUUUCGAGUUUCUCGCGCUGUGCGCGAGUUGGUAGGGGAGCGUCCUGUUCUGCAGUGAAGGUGUGGCCGUAAGGCCUGCUGGAGCGGACAGGAGUGAGAAUGCCGGUAUGAGUAGCGAGAGCAAGGUAAGAAACCUUGCCGCCGAAAACCCAAGGUUUCCUCCGCAAUGUAAGUCAGCGGAGGGUUAGUCGGCCCUAAGGGUGCGCCUCGUUAAAGGGGUAUAGCCCGAUGGACAAGUCGUUUAAAAUUCGACUACAGAAUAUAAGUAUUCCAAGGGGAGGACGAAAGUGGAAGAGUUAGGCCGGUAUAUCCGGUCCAAACAGCUAGAUAGGACUUCGAGGUAAAUCCUUUGGUCUGAUUAAUUAAGCUGUGAUGGAAAGGAUCCGCCAAUCGGCGGAAACAAUUUAACAGCUUUCAGUUUCCAGGAAAAUUCUCAUUGGAGCCACUCUUUUUGGUUAUUAUUUGUUAAGAUCAGAAUAUGCACUAUGUGUAUGUUUUGAAAAGCCAAAAGAGUUUGAAGCUUUACAUUGGUAAAGCAUCUGAUUUGAAAACCCGAAUUGUUGAACACAAUAAGGGUUUGAAUAGAUCAACUAAGUAUGGAGUUCCAUGGAGGUUGAUUUAUUACGAAGCAUAUUUGAGUAAAUCUGAUGCUAGCCAAAGAGAAGCAAGUUUAAAACAAGGAUCAAGCUCUAUUGGUCAUCUUAAAAAGAGAAUUAAAAACUCUUUCAAUAAGUAGCUGAAAAGAGUGGCUAAAAUUUAUAUUUUACCGUACCGAAUACCGACACAGGUGGGUUGGUGUAAGUACACCAAGGCGAUCGGGAGAAAGAUGAUCAAGGAACUCGGCAAAAAAGCUGGGCGUAACCUUUGGGAGAUGCCCUACCCUGAUUUGUUUCAGGGUCGCAGCAAAUGUCUACUUAGCGACUGUUUAUCUAAAACACAGGCCUCUGCAAAGCCGAAAGGCAAAGUAUAGGGGCUGACGCCUGCCCAGUGCUGGUAAGUCAAAAGUAGAGAGUGACGCUCGCAAGAGUGAAGCUUUUUACUUAAGCUCCAGUAAACGGCAGCAGUAACUAUAACUGUUCUAUGGUAGCGAAGUUCCUUGUCGGGCGAGUUCCGACCCGCACGAAUGGCAGAACGACUGAGUAACUGUCUUGAUCAUCUACCCGGCGAAAUUGAGAUGGCUGUGAAGACGCGGCCUAGUUGUCCUUGGACAAAAAGACCCCGGGAGCUUUACUGUA